CUUUCAACCAACAAACACAGAUUUGGCUCAGUCUACACUGACUUUAAAAAAUUUCUUUCUUUCUGUUACAGUGAAAUAUACCUAGGAAUCUCCUAAUAUUCUUCCAAGUUUUGCUUUUGAGCUCAUCUCCUCCCUCCUCAGGGAUCUUAAUGUACUGAUCAUUUCCUCUUUCUUGUGUCUUCAAUUUCUCCCUACUUUAUUCUUCCCAGAAGAAUUGAAAAACUCGAGUCUCUUCUAUCACAAAACAAACACAAAACAUCUGCUUUCUUUACCUGCCCAGUACUCUGUAACUUGCUGUAAUCUGGCUUCUGUGUCCACUCAGUUACUGAAAUUAUUUUCACCAAGAUCACCAAAUGUCAUUAUUAAAUCUAAUAGAUACUUUUCAACUUUUUCUAAAUGGAACCACUGUCACUCUCUCUCUCUCCUUUAAAUACUCCUUGCUUUGUCUUCUAAGUUACCCACUCCUUUUUUUUUAUUUCAUAUUUUUCUGAUAGCCACUAUACAUCUACUUUGCAUGGUCUUCUGCUUCUUCUACCAGGAAUUUCAGCUCCACCUCUUUCCCUGCCUUGUUACUUGCACUCUUGCUUUAUCCACAUCACCCCUACUCUUCCUAAAAUCAGUUUUGUUCUUACACACUCCAAGAAGUUUUUCCUGAAUUUUGAAAUGUGUGUUCUGUUCAAGUUUGUAUGCUUUCAUAACACAUUUUCUUCAAAUAGCGCUCACCACUGUGGUAUUGUAAUCGCCUCUAUACACACCUGUUUUCCUCAUGUUAUUGCUGCUCAAAUUAUGGCUUGGAAAUGCUCAGCAUCAGCUUCGCUUGAGAACUCCUUAGAAAUGCAGAAUCGUGGGCACCACCUCAGACCUACUAAAUCAGAACCUGCCUUUAAACAAAAUCCCAAAGGAUUAAUAUCCACAUUAAAAUUAGGAAUCUUGGUGUGGUCAUAGUAGGCAUUUGAUAAAGAUUUGUUCAGUGAAAUAGAAAAAUCCCUAUGUACCCAAAAAAUCUGGACAGAAGAAAGCAAAUAGGAUGGAUUGUCUUAAGGUUAAAGUGAUAUAUUUAGAUGGAGAAGAAAAUGGCAACCCACUCCAGUGUUCUUGCUUGGAGAAUCCCAGAGACGGGGGAACCUGGUGGGCUGCCGUCUAUAGGGUUGCACAGAGUUGGACAUGACUGAAGUGACUUGGCAGCAGCAGCAGCAUAUAUUUAGAAAGACACAACUUAAAAGUACUGCGGAAUUGAGAAGGCUCUUUUGAUCAGGUUCAGAAAACAAUUGCACACAGCUGCUCUGCAUCUACUUAAUGCAAAGAUGAGGGGGUGUGAGUGAGUGAGUGCACGUGUAACAGAGAGAGGGAAAGAGAGAGAGAGAAAGAAACAGAAAGAAGACGGAAAAUAAAUGUAGUUUAGCUAGUGAGCUUUGGAAAUUUUCACUGGUUAAAUUUCCUCUGACUGCAGAGCCCCAUGGAGUCACUGUCUCAAUGGAAACUCCUAGAAGAUGCCGAAUUCAGAAACUCCUCCUAAGGCAACACCAGGUUAAAAAUAGCUGAAUUGUGGCAAUUCAUGUGACUCAACCUAUUCAUCUUGCUGAAUAGAAAUUUCCAAGAUGUAGAUGAGGAACAAUAAUUUUCCUCCAUCCUAUGGUUUUGGCUGAGCAUCCCUGUAAUUAAAUGACAGAUUAACAUGAGAAAAACAAACAGAAGUUUAAUGACAUUUAUACUUCCUGUAUGGGCUUCACAAGUGAUUCAGUGAAGAAUCUGCCUGCCAGUGCAGUAGAUGCUGAUUCGAUCCCUGGGUCAGGAAGAUGCUCUGGAGUAGGAAGUGGCAACCUGCUCCAGUAUUU